rnacentral:rRNA from 1 species
UACAGAGGUCUCAAGCGUUGUUCGGAUUCAUUGGGCGUAAAGGGUGCGUAGGUGGCGCGGUAAGUCGGGUGUGAAAUUUCGGAGCUUAACUCCGAAACUGCAUUCGAUACUGCCGUGCUUGAGGACUGGAGAGGAGACUGGAAUUUACGGUGUAGCAGUGAAAUGCGUAGAGAUCGUAAGGAAGACCAGUGGCGAAGGCGGGUCUCUGGACAGUUCCUGACACUGAGGCAUGAAGGCCAGGGGAGCAAACGGG